rnacentral:rRNA from 1 species
GAUGAACGCUGGCGGCGUGCCUAAUACAUGCAAGUCGAGCGAACGGACUAGAAGCUUGCUUCUCUGAUGUUAGCGGCGGACGGGUGAGUAACACGUGGAAAACCUACCUAUAAGACUGGGAUAACUUCGGGAAACCGUAGCUAAUACCGGAUAAUAUUUUGAACCGCAUGGUUCAAAAGUGAAAGACGGUCUUGCUGUCACUUAUAGAUGGAUCCGCGCUGCAUUAGCUAGUUGGUAAGGUAACGGCUUACCAAGGCAACGAUGCAUAGCCGACCUGAGAGGGUGAUCGGCCACACUGGAACUGAGACACGGUCCAGACUCCUACGGGAGGCAGCAGUAGGGAAUCUUCCGCAAUGGGCGAAAGCCUGACGGAGCAACGCCGCGUGAGUGAUGAAGGUCUUCGGAUCGUAAAACUCUGUUAUUAGGGAAGAACAUAUGUGUAAGUAACUGUGCACAUCUUGACGGUACCUAAUCAGAAAGCCACGGCUAACUACGUG